rnacentral:lncRNA from 1 species
GUGUUAAAAACAGAUGAAUCACCAGAGAGUCUAAGAAUCAACAGGUGGCUAAAUCCGGUACUUAGUAAGAUCACUUCCAACCGAGAGUUUCUCCAAUUUGAAGAGAUGGGGGAAAGGCUGCAGCAGUGCCUGUCAGACCAUUAAUUUCCCUGUUUUAAUCCUCUGAGGGUGGGGCUUCAGGAGCACCAGCUACACUAAUUGUUUCAUCCUCUCCAGUUCCAGUUUCUCUACUUAAGGAGAUAAUACAUGUUCUUUGUGGAACAGUGAAAAAUAGAGACGAGCACAAAGAAUACAAAUCACGCAGGGAUUCGAUCCUGUCAUCUACAGAUCACUUCUGUAUAUACAGUGCUGGAGAGCUUUGUUUUAGUUUUAUAUUCAUUAAUACAAUGCUAUAUCCACAUAUUAUAUUUGUGUAUGUAUUAUAUAUACAUGUAUAUAUAUAUUUUAGCAAGAAAUAGAAUUCUAGCGUCUUUUUUUAUUUACUUAACACUGUGAACAUCUUAUCAAGCCAUUAGUCUUUUUUUAAUUAAUAAAUUUGAGUUUGUUAAGAGUAGUUUUAUGUCACAGCAAAAUUAAGUGGAAUGUCCAGACAGUUCCCAUAUGCCACGCCCCGUCCCCUGGAUUGCUCUCCCCAUCCUCAGCCUCCCCUACAAUCAGCAUCCCCACGAGAGUGGUAUAUGUGUUAAAAAUUAAUGAAGCUGGCCGGGCGCAGUAGCUCAUGCCUGUAAUCCCAGCACUUUGGGAGGCCGAGGUGGCCAGAUCACCUGAGGCCAGGAGUUUGAGACCAGCCUGGCCAAC